CGUGUAGGCGGUUUGGUAAGUCUGAUGUGAAAGCCCCGGGCUCAACCUGGGAAGUGCAUUGGAAACUGUCAGACUUGAAUACGGGAGAGGGUAGUGGAAUUCCUAGUGUAGGAGUGAAAUCCGUAGAUAUUAGGAGGAACACCGGUGGCGAAGGCGGCUACCUGGACCGAUAUUGACGCUGAGACGCGAAAGCGUGGGGAGCAAACAG
rnacentral:rRNA from 1 species